AACUUGCAUUCCUCCAUUAUCUGUUGUAGCUAGCUGGUAUGCAAUGAAAUGGCGCUUCCUACUGAAGUUUAGUUAGCUAGCUUUAAGCCAUAGAAAAUAUUUGGGCUAUGUUAUAUCAAUUGACAUGUGUUUUCUACUUCUUUAUUAUGUAUGUAAGGGUUUUAAAACCGACACUGUUGAUUGGCCAGACAGCAACGUUACCACUGAAGAACGUUAGCUAAGUGUGCCUUUACUUGCGUUACAUCGACGGACUUCUAUCGCCUGUUCCAAUACGGUUCGUGACUGUACUGUAAAAACUUGCCAUAACAAACACAAGGACUGGGUUUCACCAACUUCCAUUGAGAGAUCCGGACUGAUUGAGACUAUGGCUAGUUGCCCUGAACAUUGACGCCAAUACUCUGACUGAUGACCUCAGAAAAUUAAUAGUAUGCUCACAACAUUUUUCCAGGGAACUAUUAUGAGAGCAUGGAACUGUCAAGCAGUAAGAUAAAAAGUUAUGUCCCAUCAGUGGGUAUUCUAUGCACGACAUGUAGGCAAGCCAUAGGAAAUCUUUGGCCAAGUCAUAUAAACGGACAUAUGUUUUCUAAUUCUAUAUUAUUGUGUUAAGAGGGAGCCAUGGAGGACAGACAUCAUGGUUGGUCAGGAGAGGGUAUUAGCACAGUCACUGUUGAUGGGCCAGAUGGCAGCAGUGCCACUGAAGAAUGUUGUCUGUCCAUUGAGGAGGAACAGUGCAUGAACAUUCAGCUCAGAAGCUCAGAUGAGUUGAACCACGGAGAACAGGUGAGUGAAGUGUCAGUGGGCCUGCCGCGUGAAUACAAAGACGUAGACAACAGUUGUUCCCUGAGGAUGGAGAGGAACGGGUCUGUGAAGCAGGAGACUAUAAGUGUUGCCUCCUACAGCGAGGAAGAGAAGAAGCUGUUGGCUGCCAUGGUGUUUGAGAAGGGGGAACUGGAGCUGACUGGCUCUUUGGAGGUGACUGAGGUUCUACAGUAAAGUGAUGCAGACACUGCACCCAACAGGGAGGAAAGGGCUCUAUACCUAGAGGAGGAGAAAGGAGAUGAGAGACAGACAGAUGAAGGGACUGCCCAGUAGAGAGGAGCAGCAGGCUAAUGCUGAGUGUGAACCCUCAGUGGAGCCGGAGGUAUCUUUAGAUUCUGCGAGCGAGCGACGGCGUGCGAGAUACGGAGCGAGCCAGCCAGCCUACACUCCACGCCGACACAAGAAGCUGUGUGUGUGAUGGCCAGCCUGAGGAGCCUGUUGGGUUUGACAAACUCUGCAUGCGGUUCCACGACCUCAACAGUUAUGAGGAGCACGUCCGUCGAGAGCACUCCAAACGUUCACGGCUUCUCUGUCCUGACUGUGGCAUCCUCAUCUCAACGUUACUCAGUGUGGAGCGCCAGUGUGAACAAGUUCAAGCUGUUCUGUCUGUGGGAAGCGCUGCGUGGAUGAAGCUGGCCUCAAGCAUCACCAGAGGCUUCACCGUCAAGAGAAUGUCUAGUCCUGUAAGUUCUGCCUCAAGCACUUUAAGGCCAGGGAAGACAAGCGGACCCACGAGAAGGACAACCACCGGGUCAAAUGCCCCUGGGGAUUUUACAACAUCUUGAAACGGAACCACCAUCUCAGAGCGCAUGAGUCCAAGAGACAUUUGUAACACGUGCUACAAGGAAUUCCCCCAACUUAGCAAGCUUGAGAGGUACGAGCUGAGCCACAGUGACAACAAAUCUUUCAGGUGUCAGGUGUGCCAGCGUUCCUUUGCCCAGGCCAGCCAGCUGAAGUCCCACCUGCACGUCCACACUGGGGAGAGGCCCUUCAAAUGCCAGCGCUGCGUCAAGAGCUUUAACCACAACGUCAGCCUCAAGAACCUCGUCACACGCUAUCACCAAGGGGAGGGAGGUGCGAGAGCGGAGGAGCAGGCGACAGUCGAACUAUGACCCGCCUUGACGUCGAAGAAAACUCAGCUGAGUCACAGCGAUAAAGGGAUUAGUUAUACAUAUCUUUGAAUUAGUCCUUUAACUAUCCCUAUAUUUAGACAUCUGUCAACAUGGCUGACUCCCAGAAGCAUCCGUUAAUUUUAUACCUCGGUAAUCCUGCACCACCAGAGACCGCUUUAAAACUUAAAAUUAUUCGAUCAGCAGCCAAGAAGCAGAACGACAAGUCCCGA